rnacentral:rRNA from 1 species
GACGAACGCUGGCGGCGUGCUUAACACAUGCCAGUCGAACGGACAGGCCCUGCUCUUGUGGGGUGCUCGAGUGGCGAACGGGUGAGUAACACGUGAGUAACCUGCCCUUGUCUUUGGGAUAAAUUCAGGAAACUGGGGCUAAUACCGGAUAGGAGCUCCUGAUGCACGGGGGGGGUUGGAAAGUUUCGGCGGUUGGGGCUGGACUCGCGGCUUAUCAGCUUGUUGGGCGGGUAGUGGCUUUCCAAGGCUUUGACGGGUAGCCGGCCUGGGAGGGUGACCAGCCUCAUUGGGCCUAAGGUACGGACCAGACGGCUACGGGAGGCAGCGGUGGAGAGUAUUGCGCAGUGGGCGGAAGCCUGAUGCGGCAGCGCCGCGUGCGGAAUGACGGCCUUCGGGUUGUAAACCGCUUUCGCCUGUGACGAAGCGUGAGUGACGGUAAUGAGUAAAAAAGCACCGGCUAACUACGUG